rnacentral:rRNA from 1 species
AUUGAACGCUGGCGGCAGGCCUAACACAUGCAAGUCGAGCGGAUGAAGGGAGCUUGCUCCUGGAUUCAGCGGCGGACGGGUGAGUAAUGCCUAGGAAUCUGCCUGGUAGUGGGGGAUAACGUCCGGAAACGGGCGCUAAUACCGCAUACGUCCUGAGGGAGAAAGUGGGGGAUCUUCGGACCUCACGCUAUCAGAUGAGCCUAGGUCGGAUUAGCUAGUUGGUGGGGUAAAGGCCUACCAAGGCGACGAUCCGUAACUGGUCUGAGAGGAUGAUCAGUCACACUGGAACUGAGACACGGUCCAGACUCCUACGGGAGGCAGCAGUGGGGAAUAUUGGACAAUGGGCGGAAGCCUGAUCCAGCCAUGCCGCGUGUGUGAAGAAGGUCUUCGGAUUGUAAAGCACUUUAAGUAGGGAGGAAGGGCAGUAAGUUAAUACCUUGCUGUUUUGACGUUACCAACAGAAUAAGCACCGGCUAACUUCGUG